UACGUAGGGCGCAAGCGUUUAUCCGGAAUUAUUGGGCGUAAAGAGCUCGUAGGCGGUUUGUCGCGUCUGCCGUGAAAGUCCGGGGCUCAACUCCGGAUCUGCGGUGGGUACGGGCAGACUAGAGUGAUGUAGGGGAGACUGGAAUCCUGGUGUAGCGGUGAAAUGCGCAGAUAUCAGGAGGAACACCGAUGGCGAAGGCAGGUCUCUGGGCAUUAACUGACGCUGAGGAGCGAAAGCAUGGGGAGCGAACAGG
rnacentral:rRNA from 1 species